rnacentral:rRNA from 1 species
GAUGAACGCUGGCGGCGUGCUUAACACAUGCAAGUCGAACGGAAAGGCUCCUGCUUGCAGGGGUACUCGAGUGGCGAACGGGUGAGUAACACGUGGGUGAUCUGCCCUGCACUUCGGGAUAAGCCUGGGAAACUGGGUCUAAUACCGGAUAGGACGAUGGUUUGGAUGCCAUUGUGGAAAGUUUUUCGGUGUGGGAUGAGCUCGCGGCCUAUCAGCUUGUUGGUGGGGUAAUGGCCUACCAAGGCGUCGACGGGUAGCCGGCCUGAGAGGGUGUACGGCCACAUUGGGACUGAGAUACGGCCCAGACUCCUACGGGAGGCAGCAGUCGGGAAUAUUGCACAAUGGGCGCAAGCCUGAUGCAGCGACGCCGCGUGGGGGAUGACGUCCUUCGGGUUGUAAACUCCUUUCGCUAGGGACGAAGCGCAAGUGACGGUACCUGGAGAAGAAGCACCGGCUAACUACGUG